CGGCGGNGUCAAUACAUGCAAGUAAAGGGGGUGGAGCAAUCCAUCACCGGCGCACGGGUGCGUAACUCUUCUGUAACCUACCUCUUACUAGAGGAUAUACCAGAGAAAUUUGGAGCAAGACUCUAUAUGCACACGGAUUGGCAUCAAUUCGGGUGGAAAGGCAACGGUAAGAGCUGGACAUGCGUCUGAUUAGCUAGUUGGUGAGGUAACGGCUCACCAAGGCGACGAUCAGUAACUGGUCUGAGAGGAUGAUCAGUCACACUGGCAC
rnacentral:rRNA from 1 species